AUACGGAGGGUCCGAGCGUUAUCCGGAUUUAUUGGGUUUAAAGGGUGCGUAGGCGGUUUUAUAAGUCAGCGGUGAAAUUUUCCGGCUCAACCGGGAUACUGCCGUUGAUACUGUAAGGCUAGGAUAUGGUUGCUGUGGGUGGAAUGUGUGGUGUAGCGGUGAAAUGCUUAGAUAUGCGGAGGAACACCAAUGGCGAAGGCAAUCCUCUGGGCCUGUACUGACGCUCAUGCACGAAAGCGUGGGGAGC
rnacentral:rRNA from 1 species